UCAUUUUGCAAUGAAAACAAUACUAAGUGUUUCUUAAUUUCUUGCUAAAACAAUUUUAUGUAUAGGUUUUCUACAAGACAUCAAUUGUUGCUUAGACACAGCCAAAAAUUUAGACAAAGACUGUGAAGCUCUAAAAGACCCUUGCUUCUCUAGUCCCUGCUAAGGAAUUGCCACUUGUAUGAAUACCCCAGGAGAGAGGGGCUUCCUGUGCCAAUGUCCUCCUGGGUACAGUGGACUUACCUAUGAAUCUGCUACUAAUUCCUCUGGAGGAAAUGCCUGCCAACAUGGAGGCACCACCUCUAAAGUCCCUGAGCACCCUGUCUGAAUCUGUCCUGCUGAAUAUGCUGGAAGGUUCUGUGACACAGACAACAAUAAGUAUGCUUCCAACCCUUACUACAUGGGACUGUGUGCCAGAAUGGAAUCAAUGGCUACUUCUGCUUCUGUGUGCCUGGAUACCAAGGCAGGCAUUGUGCCUUGGAAGUGGAUGAAUGUUUUCCUGAUCCCUGCAUGAAUGAGGCUAUAUGACACAAUGAGAAAAGAAGAUACAUUUGUGUCUGUCCUCAAGAGUAUUCUGGUGUGAAUUGUGAGUUGGAAAUUGAUGAACGUGGAUCCCAGCUGUGUCUACAUGAUGUCAGGUGUCAGGAUGCUCUUGGGGCUUACUUCUGUGACUAUGUACCUGGAAUCCUUGGAGACUACUAUGAACUCAACUUUGAUGAAUGGGUCAAUAAGCAAUGUCUCCAUAGAAACAACUACUUCUUUGACUGCACACUAUGAGAUUUUGAUCCCUCUUUGUUGUUCUAAGCCUUGUCACAAUGAUACAACAUGUGAGGACACUGUUGGCAGCUUUAUUUGUCAGUGCUGCCCUUGAUACACAGGUGCCCUGUGUGAGAUGGACAUAAAUGAGUGCAGUAGCAACCCCUGCCAUUUUUGGGGGUUAGGGGAAUAUACUGAACUGUUUUCAGAGGAUUGAUAAGAACACGAACACAUUUUUGGCCUGCCUUCCUCCUUCAACUACCUUGGAUCCUCAGGCUAUGUUUGUAUCUGUCAG
rnacentral:lncRNA from 1 species